rnacentral:rRNA from 1 species
AGUCAAGUAAUUAAGUGCAUGUGGUGGAUGCCUUGGCAGUCAGAGGCGAUGAAAGACGUAAUAGCCUGCGAUAAGCUCCGGGGAGGCGGCAAAUAUCCUGUGAUCCGGAGAUUUCUGAAUGGGGAAACCCACCUGUCAUAAGGCAGGUAUCGUAUGAUGAAUACAUAGUCAUACGAGGCGAACGAGGGGAAGUGAAACAUCUCAGUACCCUUAGGAAAAGAAAUCAAUUGAGAUUCCCUCAGUAGCGGCGAGCGAACGGGGAAAAGCCCAUUAAGUCAUAUAAGUUCUAGUGGAAUGCUCUGGGAAGUGCAACCAUAGUGGGUGAUAGUCCUGUACACGAAAGGGCUUAUAUGAUGAUGUCGAGUAGGGCGGGGCACGUGAAACCUUGUCUGAAUAUGGGGGGACCAUCCUCCAAGGCUAAAUACUCCUGACUGACCGAUAGUGAACCAGUACCGUGAGGGAAAGGCGAAAAGAACCCCUGUGAGGGGAGUGAAAUAGAUCCUGAAACCGCAUGCAUACAAGCAGUGGGAGCCGACUUGUUCGGUGACUGCGUACCUUUUGUAUAAUGGGUCAGCGACUUACAUUCAGUAGC